UUGCUCCCUUAGGUCAGCGGCGGACGGGUGAGUAACACGUGGGUAACCUGCCUGUAAGACUGGGAUAACUCCGGGAAACCGGGGCUAAUACCGGAUGCUUGAUUGAACCGCAUGGUUCAAUUAUAAAAGGUGGCUUUUAGCUACCACUUACAGAUGGACCCGCGGCGCAUUAGCUAGUUGGUGAGGUAACGGCUCACCAAGGCAACGAUGCGUAGCCGACCUGAGAGGGUGAUCGGCCACACUGGGACUGAGACACGGCCCAGACUCCUACGGGAGGCAGCAGUAGGGAAUCUUCCGCAAUGGACGAAAGUCUGACGGAGCAACGCCGCGUGAGUGAUGAAGGUUUUCGGAUCGUAAAACUCUGUUGUUAGGGAAGAACAAGUACCGUUCAAAUAGGGCGGUACCUUGACGGUACCUAACCAGAAAGCCACGGCUAACUACGUGCCAGCAGCCGCGGUAAUACGUAGGUGGCAAGCGUUGUCCGGAAUUAUUGGGCGUAAAGCGCGCGCAGGCGGUUUCUUAAGUCUGAUGUGAAAGCCCCCGGCUCAACCGGGGAGGGUCAUUGGAAACUGGGGAACUUGAGUGCAGAAGAGGAGAGUGGAAUUCCACGUGUAGCGGUGAAAUGCGUAGAGAUGUGGAGGAACACCAGUGGCGAAGGCGACUCUCUGGUCUGUAACUGACGCUGAGGCGCGAAAGCGUGGGGAGCGAACAGGAUUAGAUACCCUGGUAGUCCACGCCGUAAACGAUGAGUGCUAAGUGUUAGAGGGUUUCCGCCCUUUAGUGCUGCAGCAAACGCAUUAAGCACUCCGCCUGGGGAGUACGGUCGCAAGACUGAAACUCAAAGGAAUUGACGGGGGCCCGCACAAGCGGUGGAGCAUGUGGUUUAAUUCGAAGCAACGCGAAGAACCUUACCAGGUCUUGACAUCCUCUGACAACCCUAGAGAUAGGGCUUCCCCUUCGGGGGCAGAGUGACAGGUGGUGCAUGGUUGUCGUCAGCUCGUGUCGUGAGAUGUUGGGUUAAGUCCCGCAACGAGCGCAACCCUUGAUCUUAGUUGCCAGCAUUCAGUUGGGCACUCUAAGGUGACUGCCGGUGACAAACCGGAGGAAGGUGGGGAUGACGUCAAAUCAUCAUGCCCCUUAUGACCUGGGCUACACACGUGCUACAAUGGGCAGAACAAAGGGCAGCGAAGCCGCGAGGCUAAGCCAAUCCCACAAAUCUGUUCUCAGUUCGGAUCGCAGUCUGCAACUCGACUGCGUGAAG
rnacentral:rRNA from 1 species